rnacentral:rRNA from 1 species
CCUACGGGAGGCAGCAGUGGGGAAUAUUGCACAAUGGGGGAAACCCUGAUGCAGCGACGCCGCGUGAGCGAAGAAGUAUUUCGGUAUGUAAAGCUCUAUCAGCAGGAAAGAAAAUGACGGUACCUGACUAAGAAGCCCCGGCUAACUACGUGCCAGCAGCCGCGGUAAU